rnacentral:tRNA from 2 species
GGGUCUAUCGUAUAACGGCUAAUUACUGCUGACUCUUACUCAGUUAAUCAGGGUUCGAUUCCCUGUGGACCCAC